rnacentral:rRNA from 1 species
AGUAAUGUAUAGGAACUUGCCUAGUAGUGGGGGAUAACGUGUGGAAACGCACGCUAAUACCGCAUACGCUCUACGGAGGAAAGCGGGGGAUCUUCGGACCUCGUGCUACUAGAUGGGCCUAUAUCAGAUUAGCUAGUUGGUAAGGUAAUGGCUUACCAAGGCGACGAUCUGUAGCUGGUUUGAGAGAAUGAUCAGCCACGCUGGGACUGAGACACGGCCCAG